rnacentral:sRNA from 1 species
GCCAGCUGGUUCAAUGGAGCUCUCAAAGAAGUGCUAGAACACGCCAAGGAAGCCCAUGAUUCUGCUACCCAUGUUAACUGACAGGCAAUUUGAGAAUCGAAUAACUUAGCAACAGUCCAUAUACACAAUUAGCAUGGGAAUAGCCAUGCCAAUCCUCUUUCCUACUUUGUUUUUGGGAAGUCGUUCUAGAUAUUCCUUGGCUGCCCAAUUUCCUUCGCUGUUCAAAGUUCAAAGUUCGUCAAGACGACCCAAAACUGCAAAGAUUCCUUCAAGCCAAAACUAGAGCAAAACAUACGAAAAGAUAUGACAUACCAAGAGAUAUGUCAAGCAUAAACUUUGAAUUCAGCUAUUCAAGCGAACCUUAUGGCUCGUGCCCCAUAUGAACCUGGUGGUCACGGCUGGUCUGGUUCUUUUGCCGACCACGUUCGAUCUUAAAGCAGGUUUCUGAUAGACAGGGCAGAAUCCCCAAUUCCACCAUUAUUGCGUCAGACGAACCUCUCGACCUGGCUCCCGUCUUCAUUAUCAAAGUCUUUUUGAAAGCUACGCCACCAGCACAUACGGUCUCAUUCACCGUACUCUAGCAAGUUCCACCAAGAUCUGGACUCAUCGACCACGAUGAAGAUGCUCGUGUUAGCAAAGUCGCGCGGAGUCCCGUUUUCAUGACAAUUUUUCCUCUAUGGAUGGGAUGGUUUACCUUCCGAGCCAGAUGUAUUCCAGCCCAUCUUUUGUGUUUAUCGCUUGGAGUUUGCCUUUUACCUUGAUCCACCAAUAUGAAGAACCCCCAGUGUACUGGCGCGCCUAUCCCAGGCAAACUCCAACAUAUCGUUCAUUCUAGAUUGAAAUACGUUCACAGUCCGCAUCGUAUGCUGCGAUACAUGUUUCUGCAACUUAGGAUUCCCGAGAACCCGAAGUACAUGUAAAAGCGGAACAGAUGAAAGCAAGGCGAAAAAUUUUUCCUGCUUGCCCUGAAUGUAACUUCUUGGUCACAGUUGGUGACAAUUCUUCUCAAUUUCAAACACCACCUCUCCAAAAAUAGAAGAAGGGAAAAAAAAACCCCCAAACAGGCAAUACAUUAUCUGUUAGUUUCCCUUCAGAGUUCGUUAUUUUUCCCUUAGUUAAGCUUCUAAUAUACACCGACAUUUCUACUAUAUAGACGCCAAGGAACACCCACACGAAAAUGCUCCAGAGAGAUGUCUAUUUUUAAACAAUGGUUUUAUUUUGUUUGACUGCCCUGAUAAGAUCCACUGCUGGGAUAGCAGCAUACGAGUACACAAUCCCCCACCUCUCUCCCUUGUCAAAAAUUCCCGAGCAGUACGUAUGUCAACACGCGUAACUCGCAAACCAUGAAUCCACUUUCUCAUUGAUAUGAGGUUUCAAAAGCAAAGGAAUAUGAUCUCUCUCUCGUCAAUGAGGUGGCCUCCGUUCAGUCAGCGAAAUCCCUGCUAGGCUCUCAUUUGAGCACUGUAAAUGCGUUUGCUCUCCUGCUUGAUCGGAUCUUUCUGUGCAUACGUAUGCGCUACACACGCGUCGCUGCGGCUAGUCAUGAUUCUCUCACCAUUCAUGCAAUGCGUCCGGAGUUGAGUUGGGGGUGAUUUCACGAUAAAAAUAGUAAUAUCAAACAAACACGUAACACUGAUGAUGGAGAAGUGAUCAUGUAAUAAUGGAAAAAUGUUUUUGAUAAAAAAAAAAAAAAAAAAAAAAAAAAAAAAAAAAAAAGAAAAGGGAAAGGGAAAAACCAGAAAUUUGGUUCGGUUUCCCGGGGC